rnacentral:tRNA from 1 species
UCCCUGGAGGACUAGUGGUUAGGCCUUGGCGCUCUCACUGCCGUGGCCCGGGUUCGAUUCUCGGCCAGGGAG